rnacentral:snRNA from 1 species
AUACAUACCCUGGCAGGGGAGCUAUGAUCAUGAAGGUGGUUUUCCUAGGGCGAGGCUUAUCCCUUGCACUCUGGAUGUGCUGGCCCCUGCGAUUUUCCCAAAUGUGGGAAACUCGCCUGCAUAAUUUGUGGGAGUGGGGGACUGCUUUUGCACUCUCCUC